rnacentral:lncRNA from 1 species
AUGCACACAGAGACCUACAGCGCCGCCCGCAAGCUUUCGGAAAGCUUACCAACAUCAGCUGACCCGCUCUCCUCCAAUCUCGUAUCGGGGACGGGGCUCAACGCCCCGUCUCCACAGCAACGCCUUUGUCUCAGCCCAGGGCUUGGGUACCGUGGGAGGCGCGUUCGGAUGACGUCAUGUACCCCCGGCGCUUGCAUGACAUCAGCUCCAGCGCAGAAGAGGGCUCAGCCUGCCCGCAGAAACAUCACUUUGAGCACCAGUUGUGUGCUGGGCAUGAUUACUGUUCACUGAAGAAUAAAAUGAGAUCUAGGAGAUAUGGUGCA